UAGAAAGAGACUCUGGUUCCUAGAGCAGAGAAGGUCACUUAUGCAGCUAUGGCUCUCAGUACCUUGAUCAGGGUCUCUUAAGGUUUUUGCACUUACAGCCCCUUUUACCACAUGACCUCAGGCAUAUAGGUAUAUAUUGAACAUAUAGGUAUAUAUAGGCAUAUAGGUAUAUAUUUGUUCAAAAAUUGAACAAAUCAAACAUUUACCAAUAAUAAAUCAUAAAAUAACAUUAAAACAAGUUAUAUAUAAAAAUAAUUUUAUCAUUUAUUAAAGACAAAAGCAAAUGUACACACUAGUAAGAUAUAUAUUUCUAAAACAGUCCAACCCAAAGAUACAUUAAUUUGAUACAUGCUAAGAAACAGUGGUAGAAAAAUAUUAAAGGUCAUUGUUUUUCAUAAUUAAACCCUUGUUACUAUAAGAGGAGAACACUUUGCAUACACAGCACAAGCCUUGCAAUUCCAUUUUGGGAAGACAUGUUUUAGGCAGCUUUCCUUGGCAUUUCAUGGCUGCACAUGUUGUGUGCUCAAAACCAAGGAUGCGACAAAGUCUCAUAGUGUGACAUGGGCCAGUGCCAAUGGAAACACCUUCUAUUCAUGGUACAUCUGAUUCUGAUUUAAUGCUUGGUGUUGCAUAUUCAUAAAUUCUUACUGUCUCUAAAUUGUUCAGGACCCCCAGUUAUGCAAUCCCAUAGGUGACCCACAGUUUAAGAAGCUUUGGUUUAGAAGUACUGCACAUUGCAACCACUGCUUGCAACUGCAGUGGGGUUAACUCUCCGAUGAAUGCCUAGCAAUACGGAAGCAAAAUGCCAACAUCCCCAAAUCCUCCUUUCUUAUUUACCCAAAUGAGUGUUUCCAGUUUCAGGUAUAAAGAGGAUUCUUACAAAGCCUUUUUGAAUCUUAGUGAAUAAAUAGGUAGAUGAAGCAUAUUUGGUAUUCAAAUGAAAUGGCAGAGUCUCUGCCACCAAGGGUGGGCCCAGCAUAUCCAGCUGAUUCCAGCCUCUCUCUCUCAAUCAGCACGCAUUCUAGAUGUCUUUAACUCCUGCAGAAAUAAAGGCAGGACAAGUGGAGAACACUGGUCUAAGUACCUGGCCUGCAGGCAGUGUGUUGGGGAUAAAAGCCCUCUUUCAGAAAGAAAUACUUCCAAGCCAUUGCACAAUCACCUUUAUUAUCAUAAUGUCUCAUUGUGCAUUUUGUAAAAACACUUUCUGAGUCCAUCUCAGGCAAAAAUUGCUGCUACUAGGGAGGGGAAAGAAAUCUGUAAAAUUUAAACCAUGGGGCAUUUGUUCAAGGCUCCUGGGUAAUGAUGUCCCUUGAUAUAUAAUUCAUGAUCGCCUUCAAGCUUGGCCUACUUCUGACAAGAGAUCAUAUAUUUUGGAGAAGUCGAGAAGGGGGAGGGAAAAAGCCACUUUGAAAUGGUUCUGCUGCGUUUCUGCUGUUCAAGCAACGCCGAGAUCCAAUGAGAUUUUGGAUCACUCUUUUGUAGCAUAAGGGUUCCCUUGAAAAGCUGCUGUAUUUUAUUUUAUUUUUUUUUUCUCCUCCUUUGAAUCGAAGAGGCAGCCAGACACUCGGUUUCAGUUUUAUCUUCUGUAACACCGGAUAAAAGACAAGGCUGGAUCCAUCUGUUAGCACAUACAGAAAGCAAACUGUGCGACAGCAGGCACACUCACAUACACACGAGCACACAUCUUUGCACAAAGGGGAAAAGAUCCACACUUUUAAAAAAAUGUAUCGUCAGCCAUCGUACCCAAUGCUGACCAGAUAACAGCACUUUUAUCCUUUUAUGGGCAGAUUCAGGAAGAAGCCAGCCUGCCUGCCUGCCUGCCACAAAGGCUCUUUCCCUGAGCUGCCACAGGAGUGGGGGUGCUGAGGGUUGGCUGCAGUCCAGACCCCUCCUGUGCCCCUGCCCCAAUCCUGGCAGUGAUGGGGUUCCAACCUCUAGAAAUCCUUGUGGAUGCCCCUAUGGGUGACUACCCCGACUUAGUGUUCUCUGAUGAUGAACUACAGAGAGAAUGCAGGGCACGGAUGGAGUAAGUUUUCAUUCUCUGGCACAGUGGCCAUUCUCAUGGGUCUGGUCUCCUAGGGACAAUGAUCAGGCAGGCUGCCUGUGCUGAGUUUUACAGAGGCAGAGUGCAGAGCCCCAUCUGGUUGGUUGGCUGCUGUGAUGGUACUGUUUGCUGGUCGGGUUGUGCUGUGUAUUGCCCUCCCUGUGUCUCCAGAGGUGCUUUGCUCAACAGUUCAUGUGAGAGAAGCCAGGAGAGUUCAGACCUGAUGGUCAGUCUCUCAGGCUCCAGGAUUGCCUUGUUAAAGUGGGUGGGGUGAAGGUGGUGAGUCUGAGAGGCACAGGGCUCUUUUGUCUCUUUAAUAGUGAAAUGGUGUUAAUCACAGAGUUCCCCCAAAUAAAUAAGCUUCCAUGUCAUUAAUGAGACUGGGGGAACUCUGUGAAGCAUAGGGUAGGUGGAAGAUGGGGAAGCAGUGGGGAGGUAAGUGCAUGUGAUGGCUGAGCCCCAGUUGCUGCAUUCCCAAGGUUUGUGUGGUUUCUGGUAUUUGGUGGGGGGUCUCACCGCCCAGGCUCCACCCCAUUGUUCUAAGAUCUGUCUCCAUUCAUUCUAUCCUGGUUGCCUAGUGAUCUACUUCUUAGGCAGCUAGAGUCACAAUACUAACAUGUAGAUGCCACUGUGACCAUCCUCCGGACCAAACUUAGGAAUUAUAGUCUUCUUCUCCCCCAAGAGCUCUCUGAUGCCACACUCUGCUCCCCUUUUGUUCUCUGGACUCCUCAAAUCAGUCAUUUGGACCCCCUGAAAUGUAGUAUUUCCCCCAGGAUUCUGUGGAUGGAGAGAUGAAUGAUGCUUGAUACCUACCUCCUGCCAUGACGAUGGACCUGUGUGCUCCAAGAGACAGUUCUUAACCAGCCUGACCUUCAAAGCAUACAAGCCAUGGUUCUCAUCUCCUACCCUGGCCCCCAGUGCCUGGCAGAGUGCCUGAAUAGGAGCAAUUUAUUUGACCUGCAUUUGAUGACUGAAAGUCAAGUUCAUCUCCCUUCUGGCCUGAAUGCAGACAAGGAAAUAUCUUAAUUCUUGAGUACCAGCCUCUUGGGACUCUUCUACCUCUGCAGAUUUUUGGGCCCUAGUGCUGAUAUGCAGUGGAGUCAACCUUCAGGCAAUUACAGUAUCCACUUCUAAUGCAUGGACGUUAGAACGAAGUCAUAAUGUCCCUAAUCUAAGGUCUGCCCCUGCACUGAAUGAUCUGGAUCAUGGAGGAAUCUGUCUUCACUGACAGAGGAGUUUAAGACUUUCUGAAACAGAGCCCAAGUCCUGGCCUCAGAUGACCAUCUCUCCUGUGAAAUGUCCCUGUUAUGUCUCCCCGGGUGCUGAAGCACGCCAUGUUCCAGAGGCAGCUGUCCAAGGGCUGCUGCGCUCAACUACUGCUGUCUGUCAAAAGCUUCCCUGGCUGUGCUUUCUUCCCAGAUGUUUGUCAAAAGGCUUGCCAUUCCAAGUUCAGAAGCAAGAUUAGGGGCUUUCGGGCUCUGAUUAAAGGAAUUAACUGAG